UAAGGAAUAUUGGUCAAUGGACGCAAGUCUGAACCAGCCACGCCGCGUGCAGGAAGACGGCCCUAUGGGUUGUAAACUGCUUUUGUUUGGGAAGAAACCCCUUUGCGAAAGGACUGACGGUACCAGACGAAUAAGCACCGGCUAACUCCGUGCCAGCAGCCGCGGUAAUACGGAGGGUGCAAGCGUUAUCCGGAAUUAUUGGGUUUAAAGGGUGCGUAGGCGGCCAAAUAAGUCAGGGUGAAAGGCGUCAGCUCAACUGUCGCAGUGCCUUUGAUACUGUUUGGCUUGAAUGUGGUUGAAGAUGGCGGAAUGAGACAAGUAGCGGUGAAAUGCAUAGAUAUGUCUCAGAACCCGAUUGCGAAGGCAGCUAUCUAAGCCGUUAUUGACGCUGAUGCACGAAAGCGUGGGUAGCAAACA
rnacentral:rRNA from 1 species